AGUUUGAUCCUGGCUCAGAGCGAACGCUGGCGGCAGGCCUAACACAUGCAAGUCGAACGGAUCCUUCGGGAUUAGUGGCGGACGGGUGAGUAACACGUGGGAACGUGCCCUUUGGUUCGGAACAACUCAGGGAAACUUGAGCUAAUACCGGAUGUGCCCUUCGGGGGAAAGAUUUAUCGCCAUUGGAGCGGCCCGCGUCUGAUUAGCUAGUUGGUGGGGUAAAGGCCCACCAAGGCGACGAUCAGUAGCUGGUCUGAGAGGAUGAUCAGCCACAUUGGGACUGAGACACGGCCCAAACUCCUACGGGAGGCAGCAGUGGGGAAUCUUGCGCAAUGGGCGAAAGCCUGACGCAGCCAUGCCGCGUGAAUGAUGAAGGUCUUAGGAUUGUAAAAUUCUUUCACCGGGGACGAUAAUGACGGUACCCGGAGAAGAAGCCCCGGCUAACUUCGUGCCAGCAGCCGCGGUAAUACGAAGGGGGCUAGCGUUGCUCGGAAUUACUGGGCGUAAAGGGAGCGUAGGCGGACUGUUUAGUCAGAGGUGAAAGCCCAGGGCUCAACCUUGGAAUUGCCUUUGAUACUGGCAGUCUUGAGUACGGAAGAGGUAUGUGGAACUCCGAGUGUAGAGGUGAAAUUCGUAGAUAUUCGGAAGAACACCAGUGGCGAAGGCGACAUACUGGUCCGUUACUGACGCUGAGGCUCGAAAGCGUGGGGAGCAAACAGGAUUAGAUACCCUGGUAGUC
rnacentral:rRNA from 1 species